rnacentral:rRNA from 1 species
AGGACGAACGCUGGCGGCGCGCCUCAUACAUGCAAGUCGAACGAGAAGCCCGGAGCUUGCUCUGGGUGGAAAGUGGCGAACGGGUGAGGAACACGUGAGGAACCUGCCCUGGAGACCGGGAUAACACCGGGAAACCGGUGCUAAUACCGGAUGCCCUCAUCGGACCGCAUGGUCUGAUGAGGAAAUGGAUUCCGCUCCAGGAUGGUCUCGCGGCCUAUCAGCUUGUGGCGGGUAACGGCCCACCAAGGCAUCGACGGGUAGC